UCCGCACCUCCUAUGCUGAUGUUGCUGU
rnacentral:sRNA from 1 species